CAGAUCGUUGAGCAAGAUAUUUACUGACCUCUUUUGCCUGCUGCAGAUGUUGUUUCAGUGUCACAAUACGUGCCUCAUAUGACAUGAAUACAGAUUUUGAGACGACCACCAGCAUCCUCACUUAGAAUUGGAGGCCCUCCGACUUAUGUGUGAUAAUAAAACGAAAAGAUGCUGAGUAAAAUCACUCUCCAUCAAGAUGGCUUCUGAAGAAAAAAAAACGGAAAAUAUCGGAUGAAAAUAGGGACAUUCCAAGAACGUUGGGAAGACAGCUACUUUGUGAUCCAGAAUCAAGCACGUGCAAGUGGGAAAUGCCAGAUUCAUGUCUUACUUGCCUGCGCAGACAAUUGCCAUUCCCAAAGAGUACAAUAUCAAGCGGCGAUAUAGUUCACAGCAUAAAGACUUUGAGAAGUUCGAAGGCAAAUUAAGACAUGAUAAACUUCGUUAACUGAAGUCAUCUCUAUCACAACAGAGACAUGUUUUCAACAAAGUGCACAAAUCGUCAAAAGAUGUUGUAAAAGCCAGCUUUGUAGUCAGUCAAAUUAUUACAAAGACAUCCCACCCAUUUACUGAAGGUCAAUUCGUGAAAGACUGUUUGGUGAACGUUGCCCAAAUUGUCUGUCCAGAAAAAUAAAAAUCUUUUUUCUGAAAUUAGUCUUUCUGCUAACACAGUAGCUCGACGAAUUACAGAAAUGUUACCCAGUGUGGAGAAGCAGUUAAUUUCAUUAUCUCAAAAUUUUGAUACGUUCUCCCUUGCACUUGAUGAGAGUACUAGUAUGUGUGACGCUGCAGUUUGUGCAAUUUUCGUUCGUGGCAUUGACAAAGACCUCAAAGAGACCGAAGAACCUUUUGACUUAAUCCCUCUGAAAGACACAACAACAAGAAGAGAUGUUUUUAAAGCGUUGGAAAGUUCCGUUGAAGGUGCUAGUUUUAAAUGGAAGAAGCUUGUGUCCGUAGCAAUUGAUGGAGCACCUGCGUUGUGUUCUGAAAACUGUGGCAGCGUGAUUGGUUUAGUUAAUGCAAAGCAAACUGAACUUGGUCGUUAACCUAUUGUUCCUGUUCAUUGCCCGAUUCAUCAAGAGCCCCUCGGUGGAAAAGCAGUGAAGCGAUGAAAUAUCAUGGAUGUCGUGGUCAGAAUCGUAAAUACCAUCAGAGCACGCAGUUUGAAUCAUCGCCAAUUCAAGACCUUCCUGGAGCAAAUGCAUAGUGCUUUAUCACUCUGGGGCACACUGGCUAAUUCGGGAUAAUGUUUUGGAGAGAUUCUUUGCGCUUAGGCGAAGAAGUAGGUGUGUUCAUGCUACGAAACAAACAGAUGUUCCAGAAUUGGCUGAUGAUUUUUGUACAUGUUUGGCUUUCCUGAAUACACUCAAUUUGAAACUGCAAGGAGAGUCAAACAUGAUUAUGCAAAUGAGUAACAACAUCACUGCUUUCAAAAUGAGACUAAGUCUGUGCGAGAAACAAUUACUACUAAAAAAGCUUUGACUGUUUCCAUCGCUGAAAACGUUGAAUUCAGUGGACUGUGAUGCAUUACAGGAGUGUGUGGAAUUUAUCAACAAACUACCGAGGGAAUUUGACAGACAAUUCAAAGA
rnacentral:lncRNA from 1 species